UCAGGGUGAACGCUGGCGGCGUGCUUGACACAUGCAAGUCGAACGGUAUGUGGCAACACAUAGAGUGGCGAACGGGUGAGUAACACGUGGGAACGUACCAUCUGCAGGGGGAUAACUGACCGAAAGGACAGCUAAUACCGCAUAAGUCCGGAAGGAGAAAGGUGCAAUAGCAUCGGCAGAAGAGCGGCCCGCGGUCCAUCAGCUAGUUGGUGAGGUAAGGGCUUACCAAGGCGACGACGGAUAGCCGGCGUGAGAGCGUGGCCGGCCACAAGGACACUGAGAUACGGGUCCUACUCCUACGGGAGGCAGCAGUGCGGAAUUUUAGAUAAUGGAGGGAACUCUGAUCUAGCGACGCCGCGUGCAGGAAAAGAAGGUCUUCGGAUUGUAAACUGCUGUGGUAAGGGAAAAAUGCUAUGUAGAGUGGAAAGCUACAUAGAGGGAUGGUACCUAACUAGAAAGCCCCGGCUAACUACGUGCCAGCAGCCGC
rnacentral:rRNA from 1 species